CUUCAGUGGUUUAUGAUUAAGCCAAACACUUCUCCGGGGCGAGACCAGCCCUUUCCAGCAUCCAGCCCUUGAGCACACGGUGCAGUUCACUGAGGAGGAGACAGCGAGACAUUACAUCCCGGAUCAAUAUCUCUUGCUCCAUUACGCGGUGUCUGUACAUUAUACAGAUGUUUGCGGCGGGGCACGCGUGUUGGAGGGUGUACAGAUGAUUGGAGGGAGGGAGAUUAAAAUAUUGGAGGAUAAUCUGCUCUCCCCAAGCAGAUGUUGGGUGGGCCGUGAGUCAUUAGUAACACUGCCCCCUCUCAGCGAGGGGCAGGGCCCCGUGGUGAUGACACUACUCAAUAUUGAGCUCAUCUUCGAUUACUUCUAGGCUCGCUCCCUCCAGUCGCAUGCAGUGAGCCCCUCCUAAAGGACUGGCAGUUUCCAGCCUGCUCCACUUCAGACUCUAGCUCUUUAAAGAGCUCCUAAUGCGUUGUGUUUUACUAACUGCCUUUUAUUUAACUAUGCACGAACUGUUUUGUGUUCCCAGUGUCGGGGGGGGGGUGGGAUUUCGGUUCCGUUCCCCGCCCCCUUCCCGUGCUCCCCCAGGCUUUGAUGUCCUUGGGAAUAUUACACCAGGCAGAUCAAACGCUGCAGGAGAAGGGACGAGUCAUUUCUAAAACUCCGCUUGAGCCUCCCCGCUCCCUGCAAACUCGCGGAGGGAAGGCGCCGAGCAAGUGCACGGACUUUAAAGCGAGCCCGAUUACCACGUCCUUGAAAGGGCCGAGCGUGUCAGCUUUCUGUGUGGGUGUCCGAAGGGGCUUGUCUGCCUCCUCUGCCUCCGCGGAUUGCCUCGCAUCGCAUUAGCCCCGCGCCGGUGAACGUGCGGGCCCCGCGCUCUUCCAUGACGUGAUGGGAUUGCCUGGACUCAAGGAAAUGUGACUCCCCCCCCCGCCCCCAUGAAAUUCCGGGCCACGGUGUGAGAUAGGAUUAGAAGUAUAUCAUUAUAGCAAUUAAUACUAUAAUGCCUCCAUGAUUAGUGUGCUACAUUGAAUUUCAUGGAUUUUUGCUCACUGUUGCCUAGAUUUCCCUUGGGUCCUCUAGACCAAACCAUUGUAUUCUUAGUAAAUUAAAUGUGAAAUCGCAGCAAUAUACUUAAUAAAUCCGCUAUAACCUCUAUAGCA
rnacentral:lncRNA from 1 species